UACGUAGGGUGCAAGCGUUGUCCGGAAUUAUUGGGCGUAAAGAGCUCGUAGGCGGUCUGUCGCGUCUGCUGUGAAAACUCAGGGCUUAACCCUGAGCUUGCAGUGGGUACGGGCAGACUAGAGUGCAGAAGGGGCAACUGGAAUUCUUGGUGUAGCGGUGAAAUGCGUAGAUAUCAAGAGGAACACCUGGCGGCGAAGGCGGGUUGCUGGGCCGACACUGACGCUGAGGCGCGAAAGCCCAGGGGAGGCGAACGGGG
rnacentral:rRNA from 1 species